CCUACGGGAGGCAGCAGUAGGGAAUAUUGGGCAAUGGGCGGAAGCCUGACCCAGCCACGCCGCGUGCAGGAAGACGGCCCUCUGGGUUGUAAACUGCUUUUAACUGGGAAGAAAAGAGGCCUUGCGAGGCAAGUUGACGGUACCAGUUGAAUAAGCCACGGCUAACUACGUGCCAGCAGCCGCGGUAAUACGUAGGUGGCAAGCGUUAUCCGGAUUUAUUGGGUUUAAAGGGAGCGUAGGCGGCUGAUUAAGUCAGCGGUGAAAGGUAGCAGCUUAACUGUUUUACAUGCCGUUGAUACUGGUUAGCUUGAGUUGACAGAAGGCAGAUAGAAUUCCUGAUGUAGCGGUGAAAUGCUUAGAUAUCAGGAGGAAUACCGAUUGCGAAGGCAGUCUGCUGCAGUCACACUGACGCUGAGGCUCGAAGGUGCGGGGAUCAAACAGGAUUAGAUACCCUGGUAGUCCGCACAGUAAACGAUGAUUACUAGAUGUUGGCCAAGCCAGUGUCCAAGGGAAACCGAUAAGUAAUCACCUGGGGAGUACGCCGGCAACGGUGAAACUCAAAUGAAAUUGACGGCGNGAGAGUGACGACGACGACGACGAGGGAGGAGG
rnacentral:rRNA from 1 species